rnacentral:rRNA from 1 species
AUUGAACGCUGGCGGCGUGCCUAAUACAUGCAAGUCGAACGGAGUGGCGCACGGGUGAGUAAUGUAUAGCUAAUCUGCCCUACACUAGAGGACAACAGUUGGAAACGGCUGCUAAUACUCUAUAGUGUAGGAUGAGGCUAUAUUGUAUCAGCUAGUUGGUGAGGUAAUGGCUCACCAAGGCUAUGACGCAUAACUGGUCUGAGAGGAUGAUCAGUCAGACAGGAACUAAGACACGGGCCAGACUACGACGGGAGGCAGCAGUAGGGAAUAUAGCUCAAAGGGGGAAAACCGGAAGGAGCAACGCGGCGUGGAGGAUGACACUUUUCGGAGCGUAAGCGCCGUUUGUUAGGAAAGCGGUACCUAACGAAUAAGCACAGGCUAACUCCGUACCAGCAGCCGCGGUAAUAC